AUUGAACGCUGGCGGCAUGCUUUACACAUGCAAGUCGAACGGUAACAGGCCUUCGGGUGCUGACGAGUGGCGAACGGGUGAGUAAUGCAUCGGAACGUACCCAGAGGUGGGGGAUAACGCAGCGAAAGCUGUGCUAAUACCGCAUGUGAUCUGAGGAUGAAAGCGGGGGACCGAGCAGCAAUGUUUGGCCUCGCGGCUUUGGGGCGGCCGAUGUCGGAUUAGCUAGUUGGUGGGGUAAAGGCCUACCAAGGCGACGAUCCGUAGCUGGUCUGAGAGGACGACCAGCCACACUGGGACUGAGACACGGCCCAGACUCCUACGGGAGGCAGCAGUGGGGAAUUUUGGACAAUGGGCGCAAGCCUGAUCCAGCCAUGCCGCGUGCGGGAAGAAGGCCUUCGGGUUGUAAACCGCUUUUGGCAGGAACGAAACGGUGUCCGCUAAUACCGGGCGCUAAUGACGGUACCUGCAGAAUAAGCACCGGCUAACUACGUG
rnacentral:rRNA from 1 species